rnacentral:rRNA from 1 species
UAGUCCACGCCGUAAACGAUGGUUACUAGCUGUUCGAACUUCGGUUUGAGUGGCUAAGCGAAAGUGAUAAGUAACCCACCUGGGGAGUACGUUCGCAAGAAUGAAACUCAAAGGAAUUGACGGGGGCCCGCACAAGCGGUGGAGCAUGUGGUUUAAUUCGAUGAUACGCGAGGAACCUUACCAGGGCUUAAAUGUAAAGUGACAGAUCUAGAGAUAGAUUUUUCUUCGGACACUCUACAAGGUGCUGCAUGGUUGUCGUCAGCUCGUGCCGUGAGGUGUCAGAUUAAGUCCUAUAACGAGCGCAACCCUUGUCUUUAGUUGCCAUCAUUUAGUUGGGCACUCUAGAGAAACUGCCGGUGACAAACCGGAGGAAGGUAAGGAUGACGUCAAGUCAGCAUGCCCCUUACGCUCUGGGCUACACACGUGCUACAAUGGUCGUGACAAAGAGUUGCUAGUCUGCGAAGGGGGAGCUAAUCUCAGAAAACCCGAUCGUAGUCCGGAUUGGAGU